CCGCCUGUAGCUUAAUUGGUAAAGCAGCCGGCUCUUAACCGGAAGAUUGUGGAGGUUCGAGCCCUCCCAGGCGGA
rnacentral:tRNA from 5 species